rnacentral:rRNA from 3 species
UGGGGAAUAUUGCGCAAUGGGCGAAAGCCUGACGCAGCGACGCCGCGUGGGGGAUGACGGCCUUCGGGUUGUAAACCUCUUUCAGCAGGGACGAAGCGAAAGUGACGGUACCUGCAGAAGAAGCACCGGCCAACUACGUGCCAGCAGCCGCGGUAAUACGUAGGGUGCAAGCGUUGUCCGGAAUUAUUGGGCGUAAAGAGCUCGUAGGCGGUUUGUUGCGUCGGCUGUGAAAACCUGAGGCUCAACCUCAGGCCUGCAGUCGAUACGAGCAGACUAGAGUGUUGCAGGGGAGACUGGAAUUCCUGGUGUAGCGGUGAAAUGCGCAGAUAUCAGGAGGAACACCGGUGGCGAAGGCGGGUCUCUGGGCAACAACUGACGCUGAGGAGCGAAAGCGUGGGGAGCGAACAGG